UUUAUCUGUUCGAUCAAUGCUGGUUGUACCAUUAAAUUUGCUAACACAUUCUUAACAUCAGUACAAGUCACUUCAAUUUGUAAAUCUUCAAGAUCCCUCAAAAUUUGUUGCUGAAAGGAUAGCAGAGUCAUCACAUUCGCUGAAGACUUCCUACUAAGUGCAUCUGCCACCACAUUGGCUUUUUCAGGGUGAUAUUUAAU
rnacentral:lncRNA from 1 species